rnacentral:rRNA from 1 species
AUAUCAAUAAGCGGAGGAAAAGAAACCAACAGGGAUUGCCCUAGUAACGGCGAGUGAAGCGGCAACAGCUCAAAUUUGAAAUCUGGCUCCUUCGGGGUCCGAGUUGUAAUUUGUAGAGGGUGCUUUGGCGUUGGCCAUGGUCUAAGUUCCUUGGAACAGGACGUCACAGAGGGUGAGAAUCCCGUACGUGGCCGCUGGCCUUCGCCAUGUAAAGCCCCUUCGACGAGUCGAGUUGUUUGGGAAUGCAGCUCUACUAGGUGGGAACGUCCAUCUACAGCCAAGUACCCACGAGAGACCGAUAGCGCACAAGUA